AACUGAUACUACCUGCGGGAACCUGCGGAGGGAUCAUUACCGAGUGUGACCCCCCGUAAAAAAGGGGGUACCUCCCGUCCUUUGCUAGGCACUCCCCUCCCUCAAAUUUUUUUUGGGAAGGGGAAGCUUUUUCAAAACCUUCUGCUUCGGUGGGUUUACCCCCGCCGGAACAACCUCAAAAAUUCUUAUUACAACUGUUCUGUCCGAGAAAAUUUUUAAAGCGAUAAAAACUUUCAACAA
rnacentral:misc_RNA from 1 species